ACUCAACACUAACAAAUUAGAAUGAGCAAAUCGUCACUACUAUAGCAAGCCAAUUCAGUUUGGAAGCUUGAACAGUGAGUUAGCUCAAAACUUGUCUUUACGAGUUU
rnacentral:sRNA from 1 species